CCUACGGGCGACUGCAGUGAGGAAUAUUGGUCAAUGGACGAGAGUCUGAACCAGCCAAGUAGCGUGAAGGAUGACUGCCCUAUGGGUUGUAAACUUCUUUUAUAUGGGAAUAAAACGUUCCACGUGUGGGAUUUUGUAUGUACCAUAUGAAUAAGGAUCGGCUAACUCCGUGCCAGCAGCCGCGGUAAUACGGAGGAUCCGAGCGUUAUCCGGAUUUAUUGGGUUUAAAGGGAGCGUAGGUGGAUUGUUAAGUCAGUUGUGAAAGUUUGCGGCUCAACCGUAAAAUUGCAGUUGAAACUGGCAGUCUUGAGUACAGUAGAGGUGGGCGGAAUUCGUGGUGUAGCGGUGAAAUGCUUAGAUAUCACGAAGAACUCCGAUUGCGAAGGCAGUUCACUGGACUGCAACUGACACUGAGGCUCGAAAGUGUGGGUAUCAAACAGGAUUAGAUACCCUGGUAGUC
rnacentral:rRNA from 1 species